rnacentral:rRNA from 1 species
UACGUAGGGACCGAGCGUUGUCCGGAUUCAUUGGGCGUAAAGAGCUCGUAGGCGGUCUGUUACGUCUGCUGUGAAAACCCAGGGCUUAACCCUGGGCUUGCAGUGGAUACGGGCAGACUAGAGGCAGGUAGGGGAGAAUGGAAUUCCCGGUGUAGCGGUGAAAUGCGCAGAUAUCGGGAGGAACACCGGUGGCGAAGGCGGUUCUCUGGGCAUGUCCUGACGCUGAGGAGCGAAAGUGUGGGGAGCGAACAGG